GUAAAAUUUGAUAGCUUUAACUUAAGGUCUUAUUUAAUGUGUUUUCUUAGGAGAAUAGUAAAUGUUGGUUGUGUAGUGCCUCAAAGUUAGCAGGAUAUAUCUUUUUAAAAAGUUUUUCUAGGUUAAUAUAGAUUUUUUUUUUUUUUUUCUUUCUAUUUAGGAUCAGACUACAAAUAUCCCAUGAAGCUGCUGCAUGCAUCACAGCUCUCAGGGCAGCCAUGGAAGCUCUGGUUGUUGAAGUGUCUAAACAACCAAAUAUCAUCAGCCAACUGGACCCUGUAAAUGAACAUAUGCUAAACACGAUCCGCCAAAUCUCUAGGCCCUCAGCUGCUGGUAUAAACCUUAUGAUUGGAAGUGUCCGGUAUGGCGAUGGUCCACGCCCUCCCAAGAUGGCCCGUUAUGAUAAUGGAAGUGGAUUUAGAAGGGGAGGAUAUGGUGGUGGGGGAUAUGGUAGCGGAGGAUAUGGUGGUGCCUAUGGUGGGGGAGGCUUUGGAGGCGGCUUUGGAAGUGGUGGGGGAGGCUUCGGAGGCGGCUUUGGCAGUGGUGGGGGUGGCUUUGGCAGUGGUGGGGGUGGUUUUGGUAGUGGAGGUGGUGGCUUUGGCAGUGGAGGAGGCGGCUUUGGUGGUGGCAGAGGUGGAGGCUUUGGAGGAGGUGGAGGCUUUGGAAGUGGUGGGGGCGGUUAUGGCGUUGGUGGAGGAGGCUAUGGAGGUGGAGGUGGUGGUUAUGGAGGUGGCAGUGGAGGAUAUGGAGGUGGUGGAGGCGGCUAUGGUGGUGGUGAAGGUUACAGCAUUAGCCCCAACUCUUACCGUGGAAAUUAUGGCGGAGGUGGUGGUGGAGGCUACAGAGGAGGUUCCCAAGGGGGCUAUAGAGGCAACUUUGGUGGAGAUUACAGAGGAUCUAGUGGAGACUACCGGGGAUCUGGAGGAGGCUUUAGAGGAUCUGGAGGAUUCCAGCGAGGGGGUGGCAGGGGUAACUAUGGGGGUGGUUAUUUUGGACAAGGAAGAGGAGGCGGUGGUGGCUAUUAGACUCUUGUUAUGUCAGUGCCUAUGCAUAGACAGUUAAAAAUAACAUUUAAGAAGCAUGCUAUGUGUUUUUUCCAAGACGUUUAUUUGCACCAAAAAAAAAAAACCCCAAUUUCCACCUAAUCUGUAGUUCAUUGUAGUUUCAAGCAACAAAGAAUAUAGAUUAGUGAUUUUGUUUAUAUUAUGUAAUGUAAAAUAUGACCUAUUAUACAAGUAUCACACCAUACAGUUUGUAUUUUUUCUUUAAUGAGUAAAGGUUUGCCUUUUAAAUUAACUUGACAUUUUCUUGGUUUUCAUUUAAUACAGUAGAAAAUAAAGUAUUACAUUAAAAAUGGUCUGUGUAGUUGAUUGUCUUACCUCGUUUUUUAUUUUGGUGUUUCUGAGAGUCUUCCUGUAGCCCCAGUUGGCCAUAAAGUAACCUCCAGAAUGCUGGGAUAAAAGGGCAUAUGUCACCAUUCACACCUGGUUCUCAAAAUAGUUCUACAAUGCCAUUGACACAAACACACACACACACAUUUGUGUGUGUGUGUGUGUGUUGAGUGUUUUGCCUGCAAGUACACCUAUGCCAAGCAAACCCAGCAGAGGCCAGAAGAGAGUUGGAUCCCCUGAAAUCAGUUUUGGUCAGUUGUUAGCUGGCAUGUGGGUGCUGGGAACCAAGCCCCCAUGAGCAGCCGAGUCAGUGCUCUUAACCACGGAGCCAUCUCUCCAGCCUUUUAUAUGGUACUGUUUCAAAGGAAGUAUACUGGAUUGUAUGGAGACUUCUAAUAGAAUAAAUUGCCUUGGAAAUAGUUUUUUUUUUUUUUUUAAGGCAGUGUCUCAGUAUUUAACAAUUGUUGGUCUUGAACUUUCAGUGAUCCUCCCUCAGUUCCGAGUAUUGGGAUUACAGACACACCUAUUGUACCUGGCUUGAAGUCCUGUUGUAAUACUAGUCUGCCCAGUCAUUUAGUUACCUCAGUUGACCUCCAUUUCCAGUAUGAAAAAAGAAAAAGAACAAGCUUACAGAAGUCUGCAACAAAGGUUUUGUGAAGGCCGAUUGGUGUAUACUUGACCAAUUUAUAUUAGAAUUCUUAGAGAUGUUUUGGUACCUUAAGUUUUUCCAGUGAAAUCUUUUGGAACUGCAGCUUCGUUACAAGGUUGGGGAAGGAGGAAGAGGAAAAUUUCAAAAUUCUAACAAAUCUUAAUGCUUUGUGCAUGCUCUAGAGGUGCUAGAAUGAAUGUAGGGAGCAAACCACUGAUCCUAUAGUCUGAAGUUUAGCUGGGAGAAAAUAUUUAGCCAAUGGUAGGAAAACAAAGGAAGAUGAUCAGUGAGUUUGAUCACAACAAAAGCUAUUCUUGCUCAUUCUGGAAGACUGAUCUUUACCCAACUAUUAUUUCUGAAGCCAAAAAUAGGGUGGAAGGAAAUCCCUGCUCAAAAUAAUGAUCCUAGUAAAGUUCCCAUGAGUAAUCCUAGGUACUAUCAUAAAAAGUUCAUGCAACCCUUCAUGAAUGAGACCUUAUAGUCUAUAUAUAGAAUUGCUUUCCUUUUAAAAGGGAAUGGCUCAGAGGCUUAGAGCACUGGCCGAGGUUUGGUUCCCACAUGAUAGCUGACAGUUUUAACUUUUAAGGGACUUGAUGGCCUCUGAUGGUAUUGUACAACAUUUCACUUAAAAGGCAAGCAAAAUUUUCAAACAUUUUUGUCUGUGAGGGUCUCCCAGCAGCCCCAGCUGUCCUGGAACUCACCAUAUGUAGACCAGGCUGGCCUUGAACUCACAGAUAGCAGCCUGCCUCUGCUGUGGGAUUAAAGGUGUGUGCCAAGCAAAAUUAAAAUAUUUUAAAAUCUUAA
ensembl:lincRNA